rnacentral:lncRNA from 1 species
GUUCUAUUGAAUUUCAAGGCCCCUUGUAGCAAAAAUCUGAAUUUGCGCCCAUCUGAAAAUUGUAUUUUUAGAAUCUACGUUUAAUAGGCUUUUUGACGAUGCCUAAUUCUUGCAUAACAAGACAGUCCGUAACCGAAAAAGACGUGAAACAAGCAUAUAUGCAUGAGCGUGCUCAUGAGCCACCAAAAUACGAGAUUCUCAUAAACACGCUUAAACAAGCAUAUAUAUAUAUAUAUAUAUGAUCGUGUUUAUGAGACGCCAUGCAUACAAGUCAUACUUACUAACUUGACUUGUACUUACUUGACCUGUUUGCUAACUAUAAUUUGAAUGACUAACUAACUCGAAG